UACAGAGGGUGCGAGCGUUGUCCGGAAUCACUGGGCGUAAAGGGCGCGUAGGUGGCGAAGCAAGUCAGUGGUGAAAGCUCGACGCUUAACGUCGAGUCGGCCACUGAUACUGCAUCGCUUGAGCACUGUAGAGGCUAAUGGAAUUCCGGGUGUAGCGGUGGAAUGCGUAGAGAUCCGGAAGAACACCGGUUGCGAAGGCGGUUAGCUGGGCAGUAGCUGACACUGAGGCGCGACAGCGUGGGGAGCAAACAGG
rnacentral:rRNA from 1 species